UGCGCAGCAACUAUUCGCGCGAUUACGCGUCGUCGAUAUCGCGAUUAUUUCCUAAGGGACAAAAAUUGGAAUAACGCGACACAAGGAGAAUAACCUGAAACAGUUUCACUGGACACGACCGGAAGGGAAAUCGAACUGCGAGGUGCGCGUUGCUAGCUGCAUCCGUGCGAACUCUGUUCAACCAUGUGCAAACACGUGAGGAAGGUCAUUGUGCGUGGCCGACAUCGCGACGACAUCAAGGGAAAAUGCACACGACGUCUCGUUUGUAGCUGUCGACACGACAGGAUCACGCUUAAACCCCCCAGAUGCAUCCUGUGAAAAUCAAGGAGGAAGAGAGGUGGCAAUGCACCCGGCGUCGCGUCGAGAUACGUUGAGAAAUAUUGGAUUCGACGUAUUCCACCGGCAAAACGACACCAAAUCUCAAUAUGGCUGGUAAACGGUUCAAGAAAAAAGGAUGAAA